AGUGAACGCUGGCGGUAGGCCUAACACAUGCAAGUCGAACGGCAGCACAGUAAGAUCUUGCUCUUACGGGUGGCGAGUGGCGGACGGGUGAGGCGUACAUCGGAAGCUACUUUUUCGUGGGGGAUUACGUAGGGAAACUUACGCUAAUACCUCAUACGACCUACGGGUUGAAGCAGGGUAUCUUCGGACCUUUCGCGCUUUACUGAGCCGAUGUCGGUUUAGAUAGUUGGCGGGGUAAAGGCCCACCAAGGCGACGAUCCGUAGCUGGUCUGAGGGGGUGAUGAGCCACAGGGAAAGUGAGACAGGCCACAGACCCCCACGAGAGGCAGCUGGGGGAAAGAUUGGAAAAUGGGCGAAAGCGUGAGACAGCCAUACCGCGAGGGUGAAGAAGGCCUUCGGGGUGUAAAGCCCUUUUGUUGGGAAAGAAAAGCAGCAGGUUAAUACCCCACUGUUCUGACGGAACCCAAAGAAUAAGCACCGGCUAACAUGGU
rnacentral:rRNA from 1 species